rnacentral:rRNA from 1 species
AUGGCCCUGAGCUCCACGAAAUUCGUCGCAAUUAACCAGCUCUCGCGUUGGAUCCAGCAAGAAUCGAGCCGCAGCCCCCUCUGCAUCUCGGAUUCCUGCUCCUCUGUCACGAGCGACGGUCGCGAGCAGCGGCGGGACCUGGAUGAGGUAGGCGACCCUGGCGAUGCAGUCGUCCUGGAGUGCGCGCACGGCGUCCUCGGCGCGUGGCGGAAGGGCGCUCCUCAGCCGGGGCCGGGACGAGCGGUGUCCUCUGCUUUCCCCUCGGUGCGACAACGGCGACGGCGUCCUCGGCGCGUGGCGGAAGGCCGCCCCUAG